rnacentral:rRNA from 1 species
CAGCAGCCACGGUAAUACGUAGGUGGCAAGCGUUGUCCGGAAUUAUUGGGCGUAAAGCGCGCGCAGGUGGUUUAAUAAGUCUGAUGUGAAAGCCCACGGCUCAACCGUGGAGGGUCAUUGGAAACUGUUAAACUUGAGUGCAGGAGAGAAAAGUGGAAUUCCUAGUGUAGCGGUGAAAUGCGUAGAGUUUAGGAGGAACACCAGUGGCGAAGGCGGCUUUUUGGCCUGUAACUGACACUGAGGCGCGAAAGCGUGGGGAGCAAACAGGAUUAGAUACCCCCGUAGUCCCUGUCUCUUAUAC